rnacentral:rRNA from 1 species
CGAAAGGCUCAGUACAUCAGUUAUAGUUUAUUCGAUUGUGAAAUCCACAUGGAUAACCGUGGAAAAUCUAGAGCUAAUACAUGCGAAAAAAUCUUUCAAGGUGAGCAAUCAUCUUGAAGGUGAUGCAUUUAUUAGAUUAAACCAAUCAUUGUAUCAGUAGUUUACUCUAUUGAUGCAUUGUUGUGGUGAGUCUGGAUAACUGUGCCGAUCGUAUGGCCUAGAGCCGGCGACAUUUCGAUUAAAUUUCUGCCCUAUCAACUUGUUGGUAAGGUAGUGGCUUACCAAGGUGAUAACGGGUAACGGGGAAUCAGGGUUCGAUUCCGGAGAGGGAGCCUGAGAAACGGCUACCACAUCCAAGGACGGCAGCAGGCGCGCAAAUUACCCAAUCCAGACACUGGGAGGUGGUGACGAGAAAUACCAGGUCGUUCCCAAAAGGAUUCGACACUGGAAUGAGUGCAAUUUAAAAAUUUCAACGAGUAACAACUGGAGGGCAAGUCUGGUGCCAGCAGCCGCGGUAAUUCCAGCUCCAGUAGUGUAUCCAAACGUUGCUGCGGUUAAAACGCUCGUAGUUGGACAAGAGAGUAGCUUGGUGCGGGCGGGGAGUGUAAUUGCUCUGUGUGAUCACUUGUUAAGGAAGUUGUGCUUGUCUUUCGAAAGUUAGCAAGUUACUAUUGACUUUUCAUGCUGUAGCACAGUAGUAGCAUUUGUCGACCAUGCUGCCAGGCUACUUGUAAUGUUUCGUGAGAAUGGUACAUGGUCUUCAUUGUACUGUGUAUUAUGUCUUACGUAGUGUGCCUUGAAUAAAUCAGAGUGCUCAAAGCAAGCUAUCGCUUGAAUGUUAAUAGCAUGGAACGAAUGUAUAGUGUAAGUGCGCUGAUAAGCAUCAUUCGUGGUGUUUGUUAGUACACAGCACCAACCGCGAAGCGGAACAUUGGUUACCGACUUCGGGUGAGGAUUAAGAGGGGCAUUUGGGGGCAUUAGUAUUUGGCCGCGAGAGGUGAAAUUCUUGGACCGGCCAAGGACUAACAAGUGCGAAAGCAUUUGCCAAGUAUGUUCCCUUUAAUCAAGAACGAAAGUGAGAGGUUCGAAGACGAUCAGAUACCGUCCUAGUUCUCACCGUAAACGAUGCCAACCCGGGAUCAGUUCGGAUGAUUUUAUUUGGAUCCAGGUUGGUCCCCCUGGGAAACCUUGAGUUUUUAGGUUCCGGGGGGAGUAUGGUUGCAAGGCUGAAACUUAAAGGAAUUGACGGAAGGGCACCACCAGGGGUGGAGCCUGCGGCUUAAUUUGACUCAACACGGGAAAACUCACCUGGUCCGGACAUCGAUAGGAUUGACAGACUAAUAGAUCUUUCAUGAUACGGUGGGUGGUGGUGCAUGGCCGUUCUUAGUUCGUGGAGUGAUCUGUCAGGUUGAUUCCGGUAACGAACGAGACCAUUAUCUUCAUUUGGGGAACUAUAAGACUUGUGGUUUAAAUCGUUGUUGAGUAUUGGUGAUGAACUUUCGUUUUGAAUUGAUGCUCGACAAUGGUAGAUGCCAUUUGUUCUUUUAGUGUGCGUACAGAAAUGUAUGUCCCUAUGGAGAGACAGCCGGAUUAUAAGCCGGAGGAAGCGUGGCAAUAACAGGUCUGUGAUGCCCUUCGAUGUUCAGGGCCGCACGCGCGCUACAAUGAUAACGACAGCGAGAGUCUGGACUGAAAAGUUCUGGGUAAUCUUAUGAAUCGUUAUCGUGAUGGGGAUUGAGCAUUGUAAUUGUUGCUCAUGAAAUAGGAAUCCCUUGUAUACGUGUCUCACUUAGGACACGUAGAAUGCGUCUCUGCCCUUUGUACACACCGCCCGUCGCUACUACCGAGUGAAUGGUGUCAUGAUGUCUUGGGACUGGACGUUGUUGGCAGUGAAAGCUGCGGACGAUGC